UUGAAAAUCCCCCAUUUUAUAAACCACCGGUAGAGAAACCACCUGUGUAUAAACCACCAAUAGAGCAACCUCCAAUUUAUAAGCCACCUGUAGAAAAUCCUCCAAUUUAUAAACCACCAGUAGAGAAACCACCCGUGUAUAAACCACCGUUUGAGAAACCUCCAAUCUACCAUCCACCAGUAGAGAUACCACCAGUGUACAACCCACCAGUUGAACAUCCUCCAAUUUACAAGCCUCCUGUAUACAAACCACCAGUAGAGCAACCUCCCGUCUAUAAGCCACCAGUAGAGAAGCCUCCAAUUUACAAGCCACCAGUAGAGAAACCUCCUGUUUACCAACCUCCUGUUUACAAGCCCCCAGUUGAGAAACCUCCAGUGUACAAGCCACCUGUAGAAAAGCCACCAGUGUACAAGCCACCUGUAGAAAAGCCACCAGUGUACAAGCCACCUGUAGAAAAGCCUCCUAUAUACAAACCACCAGUAGAGAAACCACCAGUGUACAAACCACCCGUUGAGAAACCCCCGGUUUAUAAGCCACCAGUAGAGAAACCACCUGUGUACAAGCCACCAGUUGAGAAGCCCCCAAUUUACAAGCCACCAGUAGAGAAACCACCUGUAUACAAGCCACCAGUUGAGAAGCCUCCAGCUUACAAGCCACCAGUUGAGAAGCCACCUGUAGAGAAACCACCAGUGUACAAGCCACCGGUUGAGAAGCCCCCAAUUUACAAACCACCAGUUGAGAAGCCUCCAGUGUACAAGCCACCGGUUGAGAAACCACCUGUCUACAAGCCACCUGUAGAAAAUCCACCUGUUUACAAGCCACCAUUUGAGAAACCUCCAAUUUAUAAACCGCCAAUAGAGUAUCCACCCGUGUACAAGCCCCCUUUUGAGAAACCCCCCAUCUACAAGCCACCUGUAGAGAAACCUCCUUUUUACAAGCCUCCGUUUGAGAAUCCACCAUUUUAUAUACCUCCAGUUGAGGAGCCUCCUGUUUACAAGCCUCCAUUCGAGAAGCCACCAAUUUACACUCCUCCAUUCUAGAGCCCACCUUACCACCCAAAGUUCCCUCGGGCAGGCGAUGGUACUCGUUAAUAGAACAUGCUAUGAAGAAAAUAUGUUAAAUAAGAGAUAUAUAGAGUUUUUUAUUUAAUCAAGGAAUAUAUAUAUUCAUGUAAUCUUCAUUUCAAUACUUUGUUUACAAUACUCUUGCUAUGAUAAGAAUAUGAGUGAAAAACAGAGAAAGAAAAUAGUGUGCUUUUCUAUUCGAAAUUAUGAAUAAGAUUUCUAUGAUUUAGAUGUUGUGUUGGUUGACUAAAUCGUGAUACAUCGACAGAGGCAGAGCCCCUCAUGCGCCAAGGUGGGUCAUGGCCCACCCCCAAAUUUUGUUUCUUAUUAUAUAUAUAUUAUGUUUUGUAAAUUUUUGAUGUUUUUGUAGCAUGUUGUAGUGGUUAAGAGCCUUUUUGCCAAGUCGUAUGUGCUAGGUUCAACUCUUGCCAAAACCAUUUUUAUUUAUUCUUUUAUUUUCUUUUGUAUAAAAAAAAAACAUAAUUCAUAAUUGUUAAAAUAAUCCUUUUUUUUGUUACUUAAUCCUUUCUUUCUUUAAUAAAACAUAACUCCUUUAUUCGAUUUAAAAUAAUCUUUCCUUUCCUUACUCUUAUUUUUGGAUACAAUUGUCUCUUUACUCUUUUAUUUUAAUUUUUUUUUUAUACAAAGGGGACUUCAACUCUUUUUUGUCAAAAAACAUUCUCUUUUAAAACAUAUAACAUAUUUUUUAUACUUAGUCGUUUGAUUCAAUUCGAUUUUAUACCUAUACAUCUGUUUAUUGAAGUCGAGUCAUUUAAUUCAGUCGUUAGGUUCAAUGGCCUAGUUGUUCGAUCAAUUAUCUUGAACUUUAUCAAGGUUGAUAAACAGUUCAUAUUUUAAAAUACCGGUUUAAAUUAUAUUCAACAAAUAACAAAUUUAUAGUCAUUGGAACCAACCAAUAAUAAAAUGUACUUGUAAGAAAAUAAAGCCUCAUCACUAUUUAUGGCCCACCCUAUACUUUUUUCCUAGCUCCGCCACUUUACAUCUUCGUAUUCUUUAGGAAGUUUCAACCUUGUUGACUAUGACAACAGUGACGACUAUAACGAGACUCGCUAUUGACUAUGACAACAGUGACGACUAUAACGAGACUCCCUACUUUUUGGUUUGCUUCAACAGGUUCUCAACAUAAAUAACUAACCAAGUUAAUUUGCCUGUGAAAUGUGAUAUUAGUAAGGUGCAUGAAGGUUAAGUUCUUUAGCAAAGCUUAGUAUCUUGAAUUAAAGAAUAUCGUUAAUUAAACUAAAUAUUCAUAUUAGGUAUCACAAUUUUCAAGACUUUAUAUGUACGUGUUGAUCCAUUAAUUAAGAGAAAUUAGACUUUAGACCCGUGCGUCGCACGGGUCAUUUCGACUAAUAUAUAAUAAUAAGUAAUGGUAAAAAAAAUUCUAAAAUAAAUAAAAGAUGAAGAGUAUUAUACAUUUUACUUACUCAAGUUCAAAAAAUAAAGUAGGAGAUGACAUGAAAUCGUUUAGUUGAAACAAACGAAUAUUAAAAAAUAAAAAUUAGACAACGACAGGGAUCUAAAAUUCUAUUUCUAAUCCUUCACAUAUCAAAAUUACAAUUGGUUCUCUUCAUUGUAAUCAUCUAAACUUAAUUAAAAAAUUUACAAGUGCAAAUAGAAUCGACAUUAUACAAGUCACUACUUGAUUCCAAAAACCUAUGUUUCAUGAAAACCACUCAUACCUAAAUAACAAUAAUAAACCUUCAAAACAAAAAUCAACUAUUCUCAAAGGACCCAAAAGAAAGAUUUUUAGCCUUCUAAAUCACAAUUUCUCUUGUUGUAUUGUUUUUGUGUCAAAAGCACCAUAAGUUGAAUAGUAGGCUCAGACACAUGACUUUCCUCAUAAGACAAAAUCACCAGUUUUUUAUAGGUUGAAAAAAUAAAUCAAAUAUCCUUAACUUUCAAUAACGCUUAGAAACAACUGAAACUUUUGCAUUAUCUCAAUCCACAAACAAAAUUGAAGACCUUUAUAUUUGCUUUAGGCACCUUAAGGAAUUCUAUGUAAAUUGUUUUCCUGCAAUGAAAUGCUAAACACAAUGAGCAAAGAAGAAGAAUUAACAACAAUAUUUGGAUUGUUUUAUUUAGCUUACAAUUCUUUAAACUAAUCAANAACACAAUGAGCAAAGAAGAAGAAUUAACAACAAUAUUUGGAUUGUUUUAUUUAGCUUACAAUUCUUUAAACUAAUCAACAAAAAAUUAAAUUUGCAUUAUAUCCUCCACAAUAUCAAGAAUUUUUCAAAGGGAUCAUUCUAUUUGUAUGGCUAUGAUGAGAACUCAUGUGUGUCCAUGAAGACCAGCUCUACGGAUAACCAUGUUCAUAUUAACUAUUUUAGGAGUGAAAAUAGGAUUGGAUUGGAUUUAGUAGUGAGCUGUUGUUUUUGAUUUCAGAAGCAUUUGAAAAUAACAUUUUGAUUAAAUGGAAAUAAUAGGAAGAAUUUGUUAAUAAAAGUGAUUUUUUUUUUUUUUUUUAUGUUGAUCUUUUUAUUGUUGUGUUAGAAACAAAAUAGGACGAAAUUGUAUUUUUUUUUUUAUGUUUAUCUUUUUAUUGUUGUGUUGGAAACAAAAUAGGAGGAAAUUGUUAUAGGAAUAGGAGGAACGAUUUUUAAAGUUUAUCUCUUAAUUAAACAGGUUUAAUUGAACACGGGGGUAAUAACGUAAAAGUCAUCAUAAAAUCUAGGUUAAAAUUAGGUUAAAAAUUGGCUUACGGGUUAACUUUUAUAUAUAAAGAAGUCAAGAGAAUCUAGAUCUGUGAAGCCCCGAUACUUCAAAAUGGAUGAUGUAUCGUAUCCGCUGCGUAUUCUGUAUCGAUACCUGCCCGAUACUUCUCAAAUUUAUGAGUUUUAUUUGAUUCUUCGAAUUCGAAUUUUGAGAAUUUUAGGGUUUGAAGGUUGGUGAUGGAGGUGAAUCUGAGUUUAUAUUAAGAAUUGAUGAAGAAUUUAAGGAGAGUGCAGUGAUGGAUAGGUAACUGAGUAUGAAUUGGUAUGCAGUUUGGAAAAACAAAACAAGAGGCAGUAGCAGCACCCCCACCCUUCCUCUACUUCUUCGACAAUAUGAGUGUUAGAUUCAUUUUCCUAGGUGUGAUUUUGAGGCAGAUGAAUAUGUGUGAGAGAUUGUAGAGGAAGAUCUCAGAUAUAGCUUUUAGGGAUGAACAUGAAUGAAUGAAUUUGUAGAUGAAGAUGAAUGUUGUUUGAACAUUUAAUUAAGAAAUUUUUAAUUGUUUUUUGUUUUAAUAUUUGAAAUUAUUAAAUUGUAUUUUGAAAUUCAAAAAACCUGUUUUAAUGACAUGUAAAUGACAUUUUCCAAAUUGGCAAUGCCACAUAGGCAAAAUUUUACCACCUGUGCAUUUUUGGAUGUGAAAAUAGGGGGUAAGACUAAAACUGCAACAAAAAUGAUAAUUGAAAAACAAUUUUAAUCUGUUUUAAAAGGGCAGGACCAAUUUCCUGAGUAGGCCACAACACGAGGACCAAAAGUGUAAUUAAGCCUUAUAUUUAUGUUGAUGUGCUACAAGCUUAUGACUGGUUUCUUUUGUUUGAUAAUAUAUUUGCAUAUUAAAUAAAAUGGUUAUAAUUAUAUUCUACAUUUAAUUAUAUAAUUUUUUUAUUGACGUAUCCCAACCAUAUCGUAUCUUGAUUUUUGAAAUUUUUUCGUAUUGACGUAUCGGUGCAGUAUCGUAUCUCGUAUUCGGGCUUCAUAGAUCUAGACUAUUAAUUUUUUUGAUAAACAAGAUUAUUAUUAUUUUUUGACAAAAACAAAGUGAGAUUCAUUCAUUCAAAUUGAUAGAGUACAUCAGAUACAAACAUUGCUAAAAACGUAAAGGAUAAAUCUAUGAACAAACUCACAACACUAAAGUUCAUACAACAGCAAAAUGUCUACAAAUAAUAUGAUAAAAUCUAAGUCACCAAAAUAUUCAUGCUUCCGGGUAUGCAACGUUGGCGCCCAAAUCAUUGAUUGAAUUUGUAAUUGACUAAUGUCGAUCUUUCAACAUGAACUAAACGAACACCGCGUCAAGACGCGAAAUCAAACAUCACAUAAGACCACUAACAACACAAUGCCACAAUUAGAUGACGAAAUCACAAAAACUCAAAAGGGAAAACUUGAUAUAUGUGAAAACCAUUUGUUUAGAUCGAAAGAAAAGAGAAAAAACGAUGUAGAGGGGUGAUUUUAGGUCAAAAAUGACCUAAAACCAGUUCUUUUUAAUAAACGAAGGAGAAAGAAUGUUUAGAGAGAAGUUGGAGUUUUUUUUUACUUAAAAAAUUAGGAUAAGCAAAAUUAUUAUAGAGGGAUAAAGGGCUCCCCAACCCAUAUACAAAAUGAUGGUUGCAAUGCCAUGUAGAAAAUAAAAAGAUAACAUUGCCUUUCUUUUUACAAUUAAACUAGUUACAAACCCGUGCGUUGCACGGGUUUAAUAACGUAUUUUAUAAAAAAAAAAUCUUUUAAAAGAAAAAUGAGCAAAUUAAUGAAUAUUGCACAAACAUUAUAAAUCUUUAUCAAAAUAUUUAUGAAAGCUUUAUCAAGUCUUUAAUACACAUUAAUAUUUGUGAUGAUUGAUAAAAGAAUUAAAAAGAGUAAAGGGUAUAGAAAUAAAUUUAUUAAAGAAUUAACAAUUUGUUUAAACUUAUUUUUGUUACAAUUUAGACCAAAAAAAAUAUUGGACUUCAUUGAGUUUCUCUAUAAUUUUUUUAUCAGGCUUGAAGUUAUGACUCUGAGUUUGAAAACCGCAAAAUUCACAAAAAUUAUUGAAGAAACACUAUAAACAAAUAAACGGCAUCGUCAAAAAUGAAAUCAUAUUUGGCUAUAGUGAUCAAGCAAACAAAAAAAAAGAAGCAUAUUAAAUACCUAUAAUCAAUGGAUUCUAAUUGCAUAGAGGCGACACUUAUACUUUCUCUAUGUUUGUUCAUCAAUGAGAGUGAUUAUUUUGCGCUUUCCUUUCAGAAUUGUUCUUGACACCUAGUUUGGGAAAUGCUAAACAGGGAAAUAACUGUAAUAUUAAUCUAAUGCAUAUUAACAUGGAUAAGAUGUAUGCGAAUAUAGUUAUAUAUAACUUAUGAAAUGAAGGUAACAUAACUGAUUUUAAGCUAAAGAAAAUGUACCAUGACUUCUAAUUUAUCUUUCUAUUAUCUUCCUAUAAAGUCUAGAGAAAUGCAUGCAUGUGCAUUAUAUGUACCCCGUUGACCAAUUAACAUUUUUGAAACAAAUGAAAAUUAAGCAUCACUCCCGCAUGUGCAUCUAUAGCUAACACCAUUUGACAUUGAUGUCUUCGAACAUUUGGUGCAACUCUCAUAAUACCAUCCAAACUGGUUAGGAUUGAAUUUAGUUGUUUUUCCAAAUAGUGAUGGAGUAUGUAUCCUAACACAAAUUAUGCACGUGAAAUAAAGAAUAGUGCAAUAUGCAUUUUUAAUUUGUGCGUAAAAAAAUUCAAAGCAUGUUUGUGAAAAAAAAAAAAAAAAACAGACCUUGACUAAGUUUAUAGAUUCAUCAAUUGGCCUAACUUGAGACAGAUUGGAAAAAUCGUUCUACGAAGUACUUUUUAAACUUUACUUUUUAAUCUAUCUGAGCUUGAGAAGUGUUAAGUUCACGACAACAAUUCAAGAAACAUGGUCAAUAAACAAUCAAAUCAGAUUGUGAAAUAAUAAGUUACUCUAACACUGUAUUGUGAAAUCAUAAUGCAAACUUACUAAGUCUUAAACUUUUCAACAACCGGAUGAUGUAGGUUGAUGAGCAGCCUCGAACCUGACCAAUUGUUACAUCUAUUUGCGUUGUCAUUGACUACAAAAUAGAAGCAAAGAAUUCAAGGUAAAUAAAUGGUAAAUGAUAAAGCUACAAAGUAUUUUACCCAUAAUGUUACAUCAACUAUAUUCCCAAUGCUCUAAAUCUCUAUAUCGAGUUAUUACAUGAACUCGAUCACCCUAAAUCCGAGAAAGAAACCAAAAAAUAUAAAUAAAUCAAAAUGUAUACUAAUAAGUAACAUUGAUAAAUCAUAAAAGAAAUUACUACAAAUCUUAACUAACUUAUCUAACCUUUGCAUCACAAAUAAUGAGCUUCAUAUGUUGAUUCUCAUUACUACCAGUCACAAUUCAAGAAUCCAGUACUCCAAAUCCUAUUUUCCAAACGUCUAAAUCAUUUUUGAGAUACUUAAUGUAGUCAUAAUCCCUUGACAUUGAAAUUCAUAUAUAGAAAUACAAUAAUACAUCAUUUAAUUUUAUUCCCUUUGUUCAUUCUGAUAUCGAAAGAAGCUAACAUAUUUCUAUGUGAUCAAUUUUUGUAUCAUCAAAUUAACCUGAUCUUAAAUGUACAAAUUUCUAUCAUCAACUUUCUGGACCCCAAUGAUAUGAUCAAAACAAAUUUACACCAAUCAACUUUUUGCACGGCUCAAUGAUAUACGAAAGAAUAAAUAAAAUAUGAAAACUGUUACAGCUUUAGGAUUACUCACAAAAACUAAAAUAAUUGAAAUGCAUCAAUUAUUUUCAACUCCUGUACCAGAAGCUAAAAUAACAAUUGUGUCAAAACCUUACCAUCAGUUAAAAUUCAGUCAUCAUGACCUCUACUAUACUCCACAUAACAAAAGACGAUUUUUCUACAGCCAUGCAACAUAACAAAUUUUGGUACAUAAUCCAAUAACAAUUGGAAAAAAAAAAAAAAAACCCUUAAAAUGCAUAAUCAUGAAAAAAGGAAGAAAACCAUCUAUGAUGAAGCAAAAACUAAAACGGUGUCGAAAAAUGAAGCCCUUAAGCCAUAAAAAUCAGUCAACUCAAGUCAUGCAUGGUCUCAGAACCAUGAAAAAAGAUAGAAAAUGACCUUUUUUUUUUUUGUGGUGGCCGGGGUUUGAACUCCGGACCUUGCAUAUUUUAUGCAUUGUCCUACCAACUAAGCUAAGCUCACGAGGACGAAGAAAAUGACCUCUUAUGAAGAAGAAAGUGAAACAGUGUUCCCGACUGAACUUAGAUACCGUUUGGUCAAGGUUUUUUACAUUAUAAAAGUUACUUCAAAACAAAGUAAAAAUAAAGGCCUUUAUGAAAGAAACUAAAGUUAUUUGGUUUUUUUGUUUUGUUAGUUUUAAAGCUAUUUAAGUUUAAUGUUGUUUGGCAAAAUAUUGUACAAACUUUGAAUUUAUUAUUUUUUAUAUGGUGUCUGGGGUUCGAACUCCGGACUUGGCAUGUAUUUAUGCAUUGUUCCUAUCAACUGAGCUAAACUCAUGAGGACAAAACUUUGAAUUUAUUAUUAAUUAACAUAAUAAAUAAAUAAAAUGUUUAGAAUAAUUUAUGAAGGCUAAAAAUGUUAAAAAAAUAAAAGAUAUUUUUUUUACAAAUACGAUAUUUACUCAAUAACGUUUAUUUUGUGUAACAUGAAUACAAAUUAAUAUCAUCAUAUAAAUAACUUGUUAAAUAUUUGAAUAGGAGAAACAAUUUAAGGAGUCUGGAAUAAUAAUAUAAAUAAUAUCAAAAUAUUUGAUUUUUUCUAUUUCAAUUAUACUCUAUAACAAAUUUCGUUAUAAGAAUACCAUAUUUUUUGUGUCUUUCAAAAAGAUAAGAAUUUAUAUUAUAUGAUAUUAUAUUUGUUACAUUGUUGGUGUCAUGGAAACAGAUAUGUUUAAUUUUUUUGAACAUGAAAAUGAUAUGCAUAGUUUGUUACGAUAUAAAGGUGCAAUAUAUAUAUAUAUAUACACCUUUUUAGGCAUCUAUACCUUUUUUUGAAGAAAAGACAUCUACAAUUUUACUUUUAAUUAAAAUUUAAAUUUUAUAAAAAUAAUCAUACGCAUUAUGCAACGCUAAAAAAAAUUAUACACAUUAGCGUAACAAAAAAACAGACACACAUAAAGAAUUACUCUAAACGCUAAUGUGUAUGUGCGUAUAUAUUUGCGAGGUUGAAGAAAGAAAAUACAAAUAUUUGAUAUCAUUAAAUGACAGCGUGAAUAAAAAUAUUUGUGAAGUUGUGAUGAUUAAACGAUAUUGAAAUUAUAAGUGAUAAAAAGAUAAUAAAAUUCCUUUGAAAAAAAGGUAAUAAAAUUAAAUGGAACCUCCUUAAAAAAAAUUAAAUUGAACGCUUCAAAUUAAAUGGAAGAAAAAAAUAUAUUGAAGUAUAAUAUUAAAAAAUAAAAAAAAAGGUUCCCAACGUGAAUUGAAGAGAGAUGCUUGUGAAAUAAAUUGUCGAGAAGUAGUUUUUUGAAGAAGCAUUCAACAACUUUUGGUCAAAGUUCAUUGCAUUCAAUUUUAUGCAUUAAAAAAGGUACAUUUUUUAGAAAGUACUUAAUUGAUAUUGUAUUUGACCUAACUUCUCCUUAAAAAUAUAGGGAAGUUGAAAAAAAAAACCGGGUCAAACGGUAUCUUAAUUUCCCACAACGGCAGUGUAGAAACAACUGAAUUUGGGAGAAAAAAAUUGGAAAAUAGUUAAAAAUAAAAAAAAUUGAAAAAUAGUUAAAAAAAAUCGGUGAGGUAGCACCUAACCAAACAACACUAAAAAAAAUUAUAUGCAUCAGCGUAACAAAAAAACAGACAGACGGACAUAAAAUAUUACUCUAAACGUUAAUGUGUGUGUAUAUAUUCGCGAGGUUGAAGAAAGGAAAUAAAAAUAUUUGGUAUCAUUAAAUGACAGCGUGAAUAAAAAUAUUUGUGAGGUUGUGAUGAUUAAACAAUAUUGAAAUUAAAAUAAUUAAUAUUGUGUUUGACCCAACUUCUCCUUAAAAAUUUAGAGAAGUUGGAAAAAAGUCGGGUCAAGCGAUACCUUAAUCUCCCACAACGGUAAUGUAGAAGCCACUGAAUUUGGGAGAAAAAAUUGGAAAAUAGUUAAAACUAAAAAAUAAAAAAAUCGGUGAGGUAGCACCCAACCAAGCAACACCAAAAAAAAAUUAUAUGCAUUAUCGUAACAAAAAAAUAGACAAACAGACAUAUAAUAUUACUCGAAACAUUAAUGUGUGUGUAUAUUCGCGAGGUUGAAGAAAGGAAAUAAAAAUAUUUGAUAUCAUUAAAUGACAACGUGAAUAAAUAUAUCUGUGAGGUUGUGAUGAUUAAAUAAUAUUUAAAUUAAAAUAAUUGAUAUUGUGUUUGACCUAACUUCUCCUUAAAAAUGUAGAGAAUUUGGAAAAAAGCCGGGUCAAACGAUACCUUAGUCUCCCACAACGGCAAUGUAGAAGCAACUGAAUUUGGGAGAAAAAAUUGAAAAAUAGUUAAAAACAUAAAAAUUGGAAAAUAGUUAAAAGUUAUUAAAAAUUAGAAAAUAAUUUAAAAAAUUGGUGAGGGGCAAAAUGGGAAAUUUGGCAUAAAAAAGAUGAGGUGGCACCAAACCAAACCCACCAAUUAGAAAAUUACUUAAAUGCCCAUUCCAGGGACAAAAUGGGAAUUUCAUAUGGCAUCAAUUUUAAUAGAGUAUAUAGACCACUCACAUUACACAAAUGUUGAAAUAUAUGAUGCAUAUUACUUUUUAAAUUUUUGGUUUAUAGUUGCAUUUUUUUUAGGGUUAAUAGUGUUUUUCACCCUUGUAAUAUAUGUCAUUUUCGGUUUUCGACCCUAUAAAAUUUUUAGUUUUAUUUUAACCCUCGUAAAAUUUUUAUUUUCCGGAAAAGACCCUUAAUAGGCCAUUCAAAAACCAAAAUUUCUUGAAAAAAAUUCUGAAAAUGGCCUAUUAGGGGUCUUUUCCGGAAAAUAAAAAUUAUACGAGGGACCACCUGUUGAGAAACCACCUGUACACAAGCCACCAGUUGAGAAGCUACCUGUUUACAAGCCACCUGUAGAGAAACCUCCGGUGUACAAGCCACCUGUUGAGAAGCCCCCAGUUUACAAACCUCCAGUAGAGAAGCCUCUAGUGCACAAGCCACCAGUUGAUAAACCACCUGUACACAAGCCACCAGUUGAGAAGCUACCUGUUUACAAGCCACCUGUAGAGAAACCUCCGGUGUACAAGCCACCAGUUGAGAAGCCCCCAGUUCACAAACCUCCAGUAGAGAAGCCUCCAGUUCACAAACCUCAAGUGGAGAAGCCACCUGUAUACAAGCCACCAGUUGAGAAGUUUCCAAUUUACAAACCUCUAGUAGAGAAGCCUCCAGUGCACAAGCCACGAGUUGAGAAACCACCUGUACACAAGCCACCAGUUGAGAAGCUACCUUUUUACAAGCCACCUGCAAAGAAACCUCCGGUGUACAAGCCACCAGUUGAGAAGUCCCCAGUUUACAAACCUCCGUUAGAGAAGCCUCCAGUGCACAAGCCACCGGUUGAGAAACCACCUGUAUACAAGCCACCAAUUGAGAAGCCCCCAGUUCACAAGC
rnacentral:lncRNA from 1 species